GGUGAACGCUGGCGGCGUGCUUGACACAUGCAAGUCGAACGGUAUGUGGCAACACAUAGAGUGGCGAACGGGUGAGUAACACGUGGGAACGUAUCUUUUGCAGGGGGAUAACUGACCGAAAGGACAGCUAAUACCGCAUAAGUCCGGGAGGAGAAAGGUGCAACAGCAUCGGCAGAAGAGCGGCCCGCGGUCCAUCAGCUAGUUGGUGAGGUAAGGGCUUACCAAGGCGACGACGGAUAGCCGGCGUGAGAGCGUGGCCGGCCACAAGGACACUGAGAUACGGGUCCUACUCCUACGGGAGGCAGCAGUGCGGAAUUUUAGAUAAUGGAGGGAACUCUGAUCUAGCGACGCCGCGUGCAGG
rnacentral:rRNA from 1 species